AACGAAUCAUAUAUAUGAAAGAAGACUAACUCUCUCCCACCACUUGACACAUCAGCACAUGAGAGCUUGCCACCUAAACUUCAUAAAAUAAGUAAUACAUAAUUAGUAAUUAAUUCAAUAUAACAACUAAAAUAGGAGAAUAUAAUUAAUGAGACCUUGAACCAUCACUCUUUCUACAUUUUUUUAAUUCAAUAUAUCCUCUUUAAUUUUGAGAUCCACUUAAGUGGUUAAAGUGAUGAUAAAAUCCAAACAUGUUACACAUAUUCCUAUCCUAAAAAUUAGACGAUUAUUAUGAAAGAAACUAAAUGAAUAUGCAGAUGAAAUAUAUCUAAGCUUUUCGAGAUUUAUGCUAAGAAAACAAGUAAUUUGAAAGAUAUUUGAGGAACUAUCCUUAUAACUAAUACGUAAGAUAUAAGAUUAUGACAAGAACUUAACUAAACUUUCCAAGAACAUCAAGUUGAAUAUGCUUAGAUUGAAUAUGCAGAGACAUGAUUAAUAAAGACAUGUUAUAUUUUUAGUGUAAGAAAUAUAUUUUCUAAAAUUUCACCGUCUCACAAUCUAUACAUAUAACUUAAGAAGCAAGGAUAUAUAAAUUCAAAAAAAAACUGAGAAUCUAAAACAUCAAUAAAAACAACUCAAUCACAUUCGUUUUUCAGAUGAACUAAUAUAGUUGGGUUUUUCAAAAACAAUUACAAAUCAUAUUUAUGUUUCAAAACCUAUGCAUUCAAUUUUACUUUAUAUGAACAUACAUUAUAUAAAACAAUUUGUAAAUAUUAAUACGUAAACCUACGUGCGGGUACUCAUCUAGUAUAAGAGA
rnacentral:sRNA from 1 species